CUCCUACGGAGGCAGCAGUGGGGAAUCUUGCACAAUGGGGAAACCUGAUGCAGCGACGCGCGUGAGCGAUGAAGCCUUCGGGUGUAAAGCUCGUUUCGUCGGGGGAGAUAAUGACGGUACCCGGAGAAGCAGCUGCGGCUAACUACGUGCCAGCCGCCGCGGUAAUUC
rnacentral:rRNA from 1 species